rnacentral:ncRNA from 1 species
UAAUAAUUUAAUUUCAGUUAAUUAAUUAGUUGAAUUAAUUGAUCUAUAAAUUUAAUUUUGAAAUAUAGUUUUUUUUAAAUAGGAAAAUUUAUUUUUAUAUGUAAAGAUUAAAUUUAAUAAUGAAUGAAAGUUCGAAUUAGUUAUUAAUUUUAAUAAAGGUAAUUUUAGUGCCAGCAACAGCGGUUAGACUAAAUUUAUAAAUUAAUUUAUUUAAUUUUUGAAUUGGGAAGAUUUUAAUUAUUAGGGUUCAUUUAAAUUAAUCUAAAUUUGGUGAAAUAUUUUAGAUUACUAUAUUGAUUUUAAUUAAACUAAUAUUUAUAAAAGUUUGUAACUGACUAGGAUUAGAUACCCUAUUAUAGAACUUACCCAUAUUGAAUUGAUUAUUAAAUGUAGAUCAUUAAAAUUAACAAAUAUGGCGGCUUUAUAACUUAUUUAGAGGAAUUUGUGUUUUAAUUGAUAAUCCACGAUAGGAUUUACUAUAAUUGGUUUUAUGUAUUGCUGUUUGAAGAAUUUAUUUAUAUAUUAUUUUUUUAAUAUUGUAUUGGAUAGAAAUUCAAGUCAAAAUGUAGAAUAUUAUAGAUUUUAUGAAUUACAUUAAAUUUUAUUUUUGAAUUAAUUAUUUUAAUAUAAUUUUGAAAUUGGAUUUAAAAGUAAAUCUAAUAAAUUUGUUUGGUUGAAGUUAAUUUUAUUUAGUGUACAAAUUGCCCGUCAUUCUCAUUAUAAGUGAGGAAAGUCGUAACAUAGUAAAUGUACUGGAAAGUGUAUUUAGUUA